GUACGGACACCGGCACAAUAUCCACUUGUUGUUGCUGCACUACAGCUCGCAAGCACUUGAAUUUCAGAUGAGUGUACGCGGUUGCUACGCUUUGACUAGUCUACCAUAUUAGCGUUAUGCCUACACCGUCAUAGCGAAGGCGAGGCAACGUAGGGAAGGCAGCUGAGCAUAAGCGAGCGCUUCAAAUGUCACACAUAAAGCAGAACUGCAGUUGUAUACUCACACGCACACACACACUCAAAGAUAUUCCUGUAUGACUGGAGUGGCAAAGAACGACAGGAAAGCGGCGCCGGCAUGCGGGUGCACUAUGAGGGCAGGCAGCUCACAUACACGCACACCCACAUACAUGCAUGCAGAAGAGCAGCUGUAGCAGAAGUGCAGAAGCGGUGCAGGAUUGGCGUUGUUUUGUUUGAACGCUGCUUACAACUAACCAUACGAGUAUAAAGUGCUGACUUUGCAUGCUGCCAAUAACAACUGAAUCGAAUAUUCAGCUGAAAAUUGAUUUAUUUGCAAGUGUUGGGGAGCGAGAGUGCCGACAGUCAGGCAAUGCCACAAGAGGCAUAGCAACAGCCAAGUACAAAGAAAGGGCAACAACAAUCAAAGUAGUUGGCGUAGUAGUAGUGAAAACAACA